rnacentral:lncRNA from 1 species
AUAUCACACUAGUAACCACUCUCCAUUGCACACACAAUGGGCAACAAGUCUUCCUCUUAUACUCGGAUGGAUGGUGAGCAAAGAACACUUCUUGUGAACCUGAAACAUCACUCAAACUCCAGCAAAGAUAAGACACAAUAGUAUUGGGAUCAAUCCUUGAUUAAUCAUCAAGUUUGAUUCCCAAUAUCACAAGCAUUGCAACAGAUUAAACAAGUCAUUUUCAAGUUUUAAUCUUUGCAAGCAAACUCUCUAAGCACAAGCAUGAUCUUAACAGGUUCAAUACAAGCUACUUAGGCAAUUUUUAAAGCUUCUUUACUCAGCAAUUUAGACAUGAAUCUAAUGCUUCAAUGUAAGACAGCCACAAGACAAUAUGCAAUAACUUUAAGACGGUUUCAAUCCAUGUAUGCAAGCAGAUUUAAGCAAUCACAACAAGCAUCACUAUGAACCUUAGUUAAGCACUACUAUCAACAACCAACAUCAGACCCAAUGCAUAACCUUAGGUGAUAUCAUUUCAUGAAAGCAAUCAGGUUUAGACAACUUCUAACUCCCUAACAAGCCUCACUAGAAUCAGGGUUAAGCAUUUUUAAACUUUUCAACCACCAAACAAGACUUUUUAAGCAUUAUAGGACAGAUUCUAAAUUCAUUUCAUUUCAUUUAGCAAUCUUUAAUAUAUCCUCAAGUUUUCAAUCACAACACCACAUCACAAUCAGUUUAAUAUAAUUUUCAGUUCAAAUACUCAAGCUUUAUACAAGAGAAAGAGAUUUCCUUACAGCCAAGGAACUAGUGUUAGUUCCUUGAAACUCCUUAGUACAUGACAAGAUCUGAGCUGUUGGUGUCGACCCCAACAUCUCCUGCUUCCAUGGACCUUCCUCCUGAACCCACCAUGUCAAAGAGACCACCUUUCUUCAUGAGAAUCACCAUGAGACUCGCCUGGAUCUGGUUUGUUGAAGAGGCUAGCUAGACCACUUCAUAACCUUUGCUUCCAAGGCCUUCUUUCUUCAAGGGUGGACAUGAGAACGUGGAGAACAACCAGAGACAGCUACUGGACGCCAUGUAUGAGCCCACCUUCUUCUUGGAGAGGUUUUACAGCAGGCUGAACAUGAAGCUUCUUCUUGGUUUGGAAAUGACAUGGGAGAAGCCUUGAGCUUAGCAGAAGCUGGAACCAAGUUCUAAUGAACCUGGCUCUGAUACCAUAUGAGAUUUAAGAGUCUAGGAUGUGUGUGUGAAGAACAAGCCUCUUAGGGCAGAAUAGAGUCUUGAAAUGGUGAAGAAAGAAUCUGAUGAACUAGUAUGAACUUAGAUCAGAAACAAAGAGACUUUGAGAGAUUAAAAGAUUAGAGAUUAAGAAAGGGAGAGAUUAAGGGAAUCUGAUCAAGAACAUACUUUAUAAUAUGAAGGAGAUGGGGAAAUCCCCCAUACUCUCUUAAGAGUUACAAAUUCGUCCACAAUAGCUUAUUUAUAAGCUUUACAAUGUUUUCUCAUCAGAAACCUAAAUCUAAUGGCUGAUAAAUGACUUAAGAGAUGAAUGGACAGGAUGGAGUCUUUUGGGAAGGUGUGGGACGUGAUGAAUCUGAUUGGUUGAUUCAAAUGUGGUCAAAGGGAAGGCUGCUCUCUCAUUGGCUCCUCAUAGGCUCCCAUGUAUCUUCCCACUUCUUUGGCUAGAUACUUGGUCUCCUUUGCCUUCACUUUACAGCUAAUGCCAGCUCAUGACAGCCUGACCUUAUCCACACACGUCCAUAAGCUCAGCUGGAUCAGGUUGCCUCCCUUCAUGCUGAACCGGAACCCUAUCUUUGCACUUCUUUAUUUCAGGUUGAUCCGGAGCAAGUACGGUUGAUGGUACGGACCGCCUGUCCGUACCUCGCCCUAAGUUUGCACAUCUCACUCAAACAUCUCCAAUGGUUGAGUGUGAUCAGGUUCUGGGUCGCCCUAAGUUUGCACGGUUCGUCCGUACCGUCUGUACCGUCUGAACCUCGGGACGCCCUAUCUUUGCACCAUCACCCAACUAUCUCCAAAUGGUGUCUAAGUCCCUCCUGGACUUAAACCCUAUCUUUGCACAGCCUUCAUGACACUUCUAGACUUCUCUAAACCUUCAUGAAGCCUUGAUAGACAAUCUCUUAAGAUCUUGUCCCUAUCUUUGCACCAGACCCAAACUC